CAACUCCGGUUCCCUUUUAAAUCGUAAAAAUCUUUCGCCUUUUACUAAAGAUUUCCGUGGAGGGGAGCAUUCCAAGGAGUCUAGUAAUUUAAUUUUUAUAAGUGCCUGACCUUUUCUGGUCGGGCU